GUGAAUCAUCGAAUUUUUGAACGCAAAUUGCACUCUUCUCGGAGAGUAUGCCUGUUUGAGGGUCAGCGUAUUAAAAAUCGACAACGUUGCUGUUUCGCGGUGAGGUUCGUCGGAAAUUGGGUGAUCUUAAAUCUUUUAGGUUUUAAGCGGCUUAAAAUUUUUUUUUUGGUUCAAUGAAUGUUUCUAAGAUUUAUUUCUUUACACGCUUAAGGGUAUCGAUUUUUAUUAGAUGUGACUAGCAUAUGGUAUAGAGUACAUAAUUUUU
rnacentral:misc_RNA from 1 species